GUGCCAGCAGCCGCGGUAAUACGGAAGGUCCGGGCGUUAUCCGGAUUUAUUGGGUUUAAAGGGAGCGCAGGCGGAAGGUUAAGCGUGACGUGAAAUGUACCGGCUCAACCGGUGAAUUGCGUCGCGAACUGGUCUUCUUGAGUGAGUACGACGGAGUCGGAAUUCGUGGUGUAGCGGUGAAAUGCUUAGAUAUCACGAAGAACGCCGAUUGCGAAGGCAGUCUCCGAGUCCUUAACUGACGCUAAUGCUCGAAAGUGCGGGUAUCGAACAGGAUUAGAUACCCUGGUAGUCCGCACGGUAAACGAUGGAUGCCCGCUGUUGGCGAUACAUUGUCAGCGGCCAAGCGAAAGCGUUAAGCAUCCCACCUGGGGAGUACGCCGGCAACGGUGAAACUCAAAGGAAUUGACGGGGGCCCGCACAAGCGGAGGAACAUGUGGUUUAAUUCGAUGAUACGCGAGGAACCUUACCCGGGCUUGAACUGCCAGCGAACGAUUCAGAGAUGAUGAGGCCCUUCGGGGCGCUGGUGGAGGUGCUGCAUGGUUGUCGUCAGCUCGUGCCGUGAGGUGUCGGCUUAAGUGCCAUAACGAGCGCAACCCCUUUCGCUAGUUGCCAUCAGGUUAUGCUGGGCACUCUGGCGACACUGCCACCGUAAGGUGUGAGGAAGGUGGGGAUGACGUCAAAUCAGCACGGCCCUUACGUCCGGGGCUACACACGUGUUACAAUGGGUGGUACAGAGAGUCGGUGCAAUGCAAAUUGUAUCCAAUCAUGAAAGCCAUCCUCAGUUCGGAUUGGGGUCUGCAACCCGACCCCAUGAAGCUGGAUUCGCUAGUAAUCGCGCAUCAGCCAUGGCGCGGUGAAUACGUUCCCGGGCCUUGUACACACCGCCCGU
rnacentral:rRNA from 1 species